AUGGCCUACAUUGUCACCAUUAUACAGGAUUCUUCUCCUGUAGAAUGGGCUGAGAAUAGAUCAGAUAAAAGGAGUCAGAGGAAAUCCAAGAGCCAUUACCAAGCGUCAGGACAAGAGGGAAUUAAAAGGCAAGGGAGGCCCCUAGGGGAUGGGGAAGAAUUCUUGGCCGUGCCCUUCCUACUGUGCUACAAUGAGCUUCAUUUUGGACCUGGGACCAGGCUCAAUGUUGUAGAUGACCUGACCAAGGUGACUCCCCCAAAGGUGACUGUGUUUCAGCCAUCUGAAGAAGAGAUGGAGGAGAAGGGAAAGGCCACACUGGUCUGUCUGGCCACAGGCUUCUACCCUGACCUUGUGGAGCUGAGAUGGUGGGUGAAUGGUCAGGAGACCCAAAUUGGGGUCAGCACAGACCCUCAACCCUCCAAGGAGCAGCCCAGUAACAACUUCUCCACCUACUCACUGAGCAGCCGCCUGCGGGUUUCUGCUCCCUUCUGGCGCAAUCCCAAGAACAGCUUUCGUUGCCAAGUACUAUUCAAUGGGAUCUCAGAGAAUGAGCCCUGGACAAGUAACCGGAGCAAACCCAUCACCCAGAAUGUCAGUGACCAAAUCUGGGGAAAAGCAGAUUGUGGUGUUACCUCUGAAUCCUAUCAGCACAGUAUCCAGUCUGCCACCUUCCUUUAUGAAAUCCUGCUGGGGAAAGCCAUGCUGUAUGGCCUGCUUGUCAGUGCCCUGGUGUGGAGAACCAUGGUCAAGAAAAAAUAUUCCUGAUGCCAGCUGUGGAGGUGAGCACAGGGAGGAGAGACCAGAAGGAUUCAGCACCCCAGUUUGGUUUCUGCUUUCCCUAUUCCUAUUCUAUGUUCCAGAAAAGCUAUUGUUCCCUCAACCUUCAUCCCCAUCUUUCACAGGUCUCUCCAAAGAGAACAUUCCAAUUCCAAGGGGAAAAGGAUGGUAGUUUAAUCUUGAAGAAAUAAAAAAGCCUGCCCCAGCUUAGCAGUUA